UACGGAGGAUGCAAGCGUUAUCCGGAUUCAUUGGGUUUAAAGGGUGCGUAGGCGGGCUAUUAAGUCAGUGGUGAAAUCCUGCAGCUUAACUGCAGAACUGCCGUUGAUACUGAUAGUCUUGAGUUUGGUUAAGGUAGGCGGAAUGUGUAAUGUAGCGGUGAAAUGCUUAGAUAUUACACAGAACACCAAUUGCGUAGGCAGCUUACUGAGCCGACACUGACGCUGAGGCACGAAAGCGUGGGGAUCGAACAGUA
rnacentral:rRNA from 1 species